GACGAACGCUGGCGGCGUGCUUAACACAUGCAAGUCGAACGAUGAAGCUGGAGCAUGCUCCGGUGGAUUAGUGGCGAACGGGUGAGUAACACGUGAGCAAUCUGACCUUGACUCUGGGAUAACUGCGGGAAACUGUAGCUAAUACCGGAUACGAGACCUGAAGGCAUCUUCGGGUCUGGAAAGAUUUCCGGUGAAGGAUGAGCUCGCGGCCUAUCAGCUUGGUGGUGCGGUAAUGGCUCAGCAAGGCGACGCCGGGUAGCCGGCCUGAGAGGUUGACCGGCCACACUCGGACUGAGACACAGCCCAGACUCCUACGGGAGGCAGCAGUGGGGAAUAUUGCACAAUGGGCUAAAGCCUGAUGCAGCGACGCCGCGUGAGGGAUGAAGGCCUUCGGGUUGUAAACCUCUUUUAGCAGGGAAGAAGCGAAAGUAACGGUACCUGCAGAAAAAGCACCGGCUAACUACGUGCCAGCCGCCGCCGUAA
rnacentral:rRNA from 1 species